rnacentral:rRNA from 1 species
GGUUAAGCGACUAAGCGUACACGGUGGAUGCCCUGGCAGUCAGAGGCGAUGAAGGACGUGCUAAUCUGCGAUAAGCGUCGGUAAGGUGAUAUGAACCGUUAUAACCGGCGAUUUCCGAAUGGGGAAACCCAGUGUGAUUCGUCACACUAUCAUUAACUGAAUCCAUAGGUUAAUGAGGCGAACCGGGGGAACUGAAACAUCUAAGUACCCCGAGGAAAAGAAAUCAACCGAGAUUCCCCCAGUAGCGGCGAGCGAACGGGGAGCAGCCCAGAGCCUGAAUCAGUGUGUGUGUUAGUGGAAGCGUCUGGAAAGGCGCGCGAUACAGGGUGACAGCCCCGUACACAAAAAUGCACAUACUGUGAGCUCGAUGAGUAGGGCGGGACACGUGGUAUCCUGUCUGAAUAUGGGGGGACCAUCCUCCAAGGCUAAAUACUCCUGACUGACCGAUAGUGAACCAGUACCGUGAGGGAAAGGCGAAAAGAACCCCGGCGAGGGGAGUGAAAAAGAACCUGAAACCGUGUACGUACAAGCAGUGGGAGCACAGAGCAAUCUGUGUGACUGCGUACCUUUUGUAUAAUGGGUCAGCGACUUAUAUUCUGUAGCAAGGUUAACCGAAUAGGGGAGCCGAAGGGAAACCGAGUCUUAACUGGGCGUUAAGUUGCAGGGUAUAGACCCGAAACCCGGUGAUCUAGCCAUGGGCAGGUUGAAGGUUGGGUAACACUAACUGGAGGACCGAACCGACUAAUGUUGAAAAAUUAGCGGAUGACUUGUGGCUGGGGGUGAAAGGCCAAUCAAACCGGGAGAUAGCUGGUUCUCCCCGAAAGCUAUUUAGGUAGCGCCUCGUGAAUUCAUCUCCGGGGGUAGAGCACUGUUUCGGCAAGGGGGUCAUCCCGACUUACCAACCCGAUGCAAACUGCGAAUACCGGAGAAUGUUAUCACGGGAGACACACGGCGGGUGCUAACGUCCGUCGUGAAGAGGGAAACAACCCAGACCGCCAGCUAAGGUCCCAAAGUCAUGGUUAAGUGGGAAACGAUGUGGGAAGGCCCAGACAGCCAGGAUGUUGGCUUAGAAGCAGCCAUCAUUUAAAGAAAGCGUAAUAGCUCACUGGUCGAGUCGGCCUGCGCGGAAGAUGUAACGGGGCUAAACCAUGCACCGAAGCUGCGGCAGCGACGCUUAUGCGUUGUUGGGUAGGGGAGCGUUCUGUAAGCCUGUGAAGGUGUACUGUGAGGUAUGCUGGAGGUAUCAGAAGUGCGAAUGCUGACAUAAGUAACGAUAAAGCGGGUGAAAAGCCCGCUCGCCGGAAGACCAAGGGUUCCUGUCCAACGUUAAUCGGGGCAGGGUGAGUCGACCCCUAAGGCGAGGCCGAAAGGCGUAGUCGAUGGGAAACAGGUUAAUAUUCCUGUACUUGGUGUUACUGCGAAGGGGGGACGGAGAAGGCUAUGUUGGCCGGGCGACGGUUGUCCCGGUUUAAGCGUGUAGGCUGGUUUUCCAGGCAAAUCCGGAAAAUCAAGGCUGAGGCGUGAUGACGAGGCACUACGGUGCUGAAGCAACAAAUGCCCUGCUUCCAGGAAAAGCCUCUAAGCAUCAGGUAACAUCAAAUCGUACCCCAAACCGACACAGGUGGUCAGGUAGAGAAUACCAAGGCGCUUGAGAGAACUCGGGUGAAGGAACUAGGCAAAAUGGUGCCGUAACUUCGGGAGAAGGCACGCUGAUAUGUAGGUGAAGUCCCUCGCGGAUGGAGCUGAAAUCAGUCGAAGAUACCAGCUGGCUGCAACUGUUUAUUAAAAACACAGCACUGUGCAAACACGAAAGUGGACGUAUACGGUGUGACGCCUGCCCGGUGCCGGAAGGUUAAUUGAUGGGGUUAGCGCAAGCGAAGCUCUUGAUCGAAGCCCCGGUAAACGGCGGCCGUAACUAUAACGGUCCUAAGGUAGCGAAAUUCCUUGUCGGGUAAGUUCCGACCUGCACGAAUGGCGUAAUGAUGGCCAGGCUGUCUCCACCCGAGACUCAGUGAAAUUGAACUCGCUGUGAAGAUGCAGUGUACCCGCGGCAAGACGGAAAGACCCCGUGAACCUUUACUAUAGCUUGACACUGAACAUUGAGCCUUGAUGUGUAGGAUAGGUGGGAGGCUUUGAAGUGUGGACGCCAGUCUGCAUGGAGCCGACCUUGAAAUACCACCCUUUAAUGUUUGAUGUUCUAACGUGGACCCGUGAUCCGGGUUGCGGACAGUGUCUGGUGGGUAGUUUGACUGGGGCGGUCUCCUCCUAAAGAGUAACGGAGGAGCACGAAGGUUGGCUAAUCCUGGUCGGACAUCAGGAGGUUAGUGCAAUGGCAUAAGCCAGCUUGACUGCGAGCGUGACGGCGCGAGCAGGUGCGAAAGCAGGUCAUAGUGAUCCGGUGGUUCUGAAUGGAAGGGCCAUCGCUCAACGGAUAAAAGGUACUCCGGGGAUAACAGGCUGAUACCGCCCAAGAGUUCAUAUCGACGGCGGUGUUUGGCACCUCGAUGUCGGCUCAUCACAUCCUGGGGCUGAAGUAGGUCCCAAGGGUAUGGCUGUUCGCCAUUUAAAGUGGUACGCGAGCUGGGUUUAGAACGUCGUGAGACAGUUCGGUCCCUAUCUGCCGUGGGCGCUGGAGAAUUGAGGGGGGCUGCUCCUAGUACGAGAGGACCGGAGUGGACGCAUCACUGGUGUUCGGGUUGUCAUGCCAAUGGCACUGCCCGGUAGCUAAAUGCGGAAGAGAUAAGUGCUGAAAGCAUCUAAGCACGAAACUUGCCCCGAGAUGAGUUCUCCCUGACUCCUUGAGAGUCCUGAAGGAACGUUGAAGACGACGACGUUGAUAGGCCGGGUGUGUAAGCGCAGCGAUGCGUUGAGCUAACCGGUACUAAUGAACCGUGAGGCUUAACCUU